AUACUUUAACCUGGCCCAGGAGAUACCGUGAUCACGAAGGCGGUUCUCCUAAGCGAGGCUCAUCAUUGCACUCCGGUUGUCGCCUGACCCUUGCGAUAACCCAAAUGGGGUUAAGUCGAGUGUCGGCAAUUUUUGUAAGCCGGGGACUCCGUUCGCGCUAUAUACCCCCU